UACGAAGGUCCCAAGCGUUAUCCGGAUUUAUUGGGCUUAAAGGGCGCGUAGGCGGGCUAUUAAGUCAGUGGUGAAAGCCCCAAGCUUAACUUGGGAACUGCCAUUGAUACUGAUGGUCUUGAGUACAUUUGAGGUGGGCGGAAUGUGUCAUGUAGCGGUGAAAUGCUUAGAUAUGACACAGAACACCGAUUGCGAAGGCAGCUCACUAAGCUGUAACUGACGCUGAGGCACGAAAGCGUGGGGAGCAAACAGG
rnacentral:rRNA from 1 species